rnacentral:misc_RNA from 1 species
AACGCACCUUGCGCCCUUUGGCUAUUCUGAAGGGCAUGCCUGUUUGAGUAUCAUGAACACCUCAACUCUCAUGGUUCGCCGUGAUGAGCUUGGACUUUGGGGGUCUUGCUGGCCUAUGGUCGGCUCCUCUCAAAUGGAUCAGCUUGCCAGUGUUUGGUGACAUCACGGGUGUGAUAACUAUCUACGCUUGUGGUUUCCCACCAGGUAACCUUCAGUGAUGGAGGUUCGCUGGAGCUCAUAAAUGUCUCUCCUCAGUGAGGACAGCUUUUUGAACGUUUGAUCUCAAAUCAGGUAGGACUACCCGCUGAACUUAA